rnacentral:rRNA from 1 species
GAACGAGAAAGUGGAGCAAUCCAUGAGUACAGUGGCGUACGGGUGAGUAACACGUGGGGAUCUACCUUUUGGUGGGGGAUAACUCUGGGAAACCGGAGCUAAUACCGCAUAAGCAGGUGACUGGAAAGCCGAAAGGCGCCGGAAGAGGAGCCCGCGGCCGAUUAGCCAGUUGGUGAGGUAACGGCUCACCAAAGCAAAGAUCGGUAGCCGGCCUGAGAGGGCACACGGCCACACUGGCACUGAAACACGGGCCAGACUCCUACGGGAGGCAGCAGUGGGGAAUCUUGCACAAUGGGGGCAACCCUGAUGCAGCGACGCCGCGUGAGCGAUGAAGCCCUUCNGGGGUGUAAAGCUCUUUCGACCGGAACGAUAAUGACGGUACCGGGAGAAGAAGCUGCGGCUAACUACGUG